CAAGAAGUAGUUUAAUAAAAAAAUUUUAAUUUUGGAGAUUAAUGAUAUAAAGAUUUUAUUUUCUUGA
rnacentral:tRNA from 1 species